GGUCCAAUGGUCUAGUGGCAAGAUACUUGCUUUGGGAAGAAAAUGCAAGGGAUCCCGGGUUCAAAUCCCGGUUGGACCC